rnacentral:rRNA from 1 species
GGGUCCGCACAAGUGGUGGAGCAUGUGGUUUAAUUCGACGCUACGCGAAGAACCUUACCUGGGCUUGACAUUCUUAUGAUCGCUUUGUGAAAGCUUAGCUUUCUGCCCGCAAGGGUAGACAUUUGAACAGGUGUUGCAUGGUUGUCGUCAGCUCGUGCCGUGAGGUGUUGGGUUUAGUCCUCUAACGAGCGCAACCCCUAUUGCCAGUUGCCAUCGGGUAAUGCCGGGAACUCUGGCGAGACUGCCCGGGAUAACCGGGAGGAAGGCGGGGAUGACGUCAAAUCAUCAUGGCCCUUAUGUCCAGGGCUACACACGUGCUACAAUGGCAGAUACAAAGGGUCGCAAAAUCGCGAGAUGGAGCCAAUCCCAAAAAGUCUGCCUCAGUUCGGAUUGCAGUCUGCAACUCGACUGCAUGAAGCUGGAAUCACUAGUAAUCGCGGGUCAGCUACACCGCGGUGAAUACGUUCCCGGGCCUU